AUUAAGUGUUCACAACAUUAUAUGCAGUGCUCACAACAUUAUACGUUUUUUGUUGAUGAAGAUGAUGAUCGGUGAUGAUGAUGAGAUUGAUGUAUGAUGAGAUUAAUGUAUGAUGAGAUUGAUGUAUGAUGAGAUGAUUCGGUAAACAUCGGAAAUUUUAUCGGACAUUGCCGAAUCCGGUCAAAAAAUAUAGGACAAAAAUUUAUAAUGCAC
rnacentral:lncRNA from 1 species